UACGUAGGUGGCGAGCGUUGUCCGGAUUUACUGGGCGUAAAGGGAGCGUAGGCGGACUUUUAAGUGAGAUGUGAAAUACCCGGGCUCAACUUGGGUGCUGCAUUUCAAACUGGAAGCCUAGAGUGCAGGAGAGGAGAAUGGAAUUCCUAGUGUAGCGGUGAAAUGCGUAGAAAUUAGGAAGAACACCAGUGGCGAAGGCGAUUCUCUGGACUGUAACUGACGCUGAGGCUCGAAAGCGUGGGGAGCAAACAGGAUUAGAUACCCUGGUA
rnacentral:rRNA from 1 species